GAGAGAGUAAGAGGACGACUGUGAGAAAUGAAGGAGAGAGAGAGCUCACGUUAGAGAUUUUGAGGCCCUACUUUUACCCUGUUUUGAAGAGAGAGUGGGUAAUAUGAGAGAGUGCUGUUGUGGGUUUGAAGUAAAACCAGUUCUAGUGUAAGGAAGUCAUAUGGAGGAAGCCUGCCAGCGUUGUAAACGGACUUAGUAGAGAGAAACCCCUUUGGUUGAAGGUUUUUGGGUAUGCUUCACCUUGUAAUCUUUUUGAAUUAGUAUAUAAAGUCUCGCACCAUUAUCUAAUAGAUGUAGAUCGUUAUUUGUGGCUAAACAACAUUGAAG
rnacentral:lncRNA from 1 species